UACGUAGGGGGGCGAGCGUUGUCCGGAUUUAUUGGGCGUAAAGAGCGUGUAGGCGGCCAGGUAGGUCUGCUGUGAAAACUCGAGGCUCAACCUCGAGACGUCGGCGGAAACCAUCUGGCUAGAGUCCGGAAGAGGAGAGUGGAAUUCCUGGUGUAGCGGUGAAAUGCGCAGAUAUCAGGAAGAACACCCGUGGCGAAGGCGGCUCUCUGGGGACGGUACUGACGCUGAGACGCGAAAGCGUGGGGAGCGAACAGG
rnacentral:rRNA from 1 species